UGAAGCUUGCUUUAUGGACUUAGUGGCGAACGGGUGAGUAAUACAUAAGCAACCUGCCCAUCAGACUGGGAUAACAGUUGGAAACGACUGCUAAUACCGGAUAGGUAAACGGAUGGCAUCAUCUGUUUAUUAAAGUUUAGAUACACUGAUGGAUGGGCUUAUGGCGCAUUAGCUAGUUGGUGAGGUAACGGCCCACCAAGGCGAUGAUGCGUAGCCGACCUGAGAGGGUGACCGGCCACAUUGGGACUGAGACACGGCCCAAACUCCUACGGGAGGCAGCAGUAAGGAAUUUUCGGCAAUGGGCGCAAGCCUGACCGAGCAACGCCGCGUGAGCGAAGACGGCCCUAUGGGUUGUAAAGCUCUGUUGUAAAGGAAGAACACUAUUGAUAGAAUCAGUAGCUGACGGUACUUUACCAGAAAGCCACGGCUAACUACGUGCCAGCAGCCGCGGUAAUACGUAGGUGGCGAGCGUUAUCCGGAAUUAUUGGGCGUAAAGGGUGCGCAGUCGGCUAAUUAAGUUUGUGGUGAAAGUGCGGGGCUUAACUCCGUAUUGCCAUGAAAACUGGUUGGCUAGAGUGCAGAAGAGGGUAGUGGAAUUCCAUGUGUAGCGGUAAAAUGCGUAGAUAUAUGGAGGAACACCAGUGGCGAAGGCGGCUACCUGGUCUGUAACUGACGAUGAGGCACGAAAGCGUGGGGAGCAAAUAGGAUUAGAUACCCUAGUAGUCCACGCUGUAAACGAUGAAUACUAAGUGUUGGGGGAACUCAGUGCUGCAGUUAACGCAAUAAGUAUUCCGCCUGGG
rnacentral:rRNA from 1 species